GCUUACGGCCACACCGGCCUGAGUACGCCUGAUCUCGUCCGAUCUCGGAAGCUAAGCAGGUCGGGCCUGGUUAGUACUUGGAAUGGGAGACCGCCUGGGAAUACAGGUGCUGUAAGCU
rnacentral:rRNA from 1 species